UACAGAGGGUGCAAGCGUUAUUCGGAAUUAUUGGGCGUAAAGGGCGCGUAGGCGGUUUAGAAAGUCUGGUGUGAAAGCCCUGGGUUCAACUCAGGAAGUGCAUUGGAUACUACUAGACUGGAGUGCAGGAGAGGAGAGCGGAAUUCCAGGUGUAGAGGUGAAAUUCGUAGAUAUCUGGAGGAACAUCAGAGGCGAAGGCGGCUCUCUGGACUGCAACUGACGCUGAGGCGCGAAAGCGUGGGGAGCAAACAGG
rnacentral:rRNA from 1 species